rnacentral:pre_miRNA from 1 species
CGGGGGAGUGCAGAAUCCGGGGCUGUGUCCCCUGCGCUCCGGGGCUCCGGGGCCUGCGCGGCUGGAAUCCACUCCCGGGGCCAUGCAGCCCCCA